rnacentral:rRNA from 1 species
GACGAACGCUGGCGGCGUGCUUAACACAUGCAAGUCGAACGGAAAGGCCCUGCUUUUGUGGGGUGCUCGAGUGGCGAACGGGUGAGUAACACGUGAGUAACCUGCCCUUGACUUUGGGAUAACUUCAGGAAACUGGGGCUAAUACCGGAUAGGAGCUCCUGCUGCAUGGUGGGGGUUGGAAAGUUUCGGCGGUUGGGGAUGGACUCGCGGCUUAUCAGCUUGCUGGUGGGGUAGUGGCUUACCCAGGCUUUGACGGGUAGCCGGCCUGAGAGGGUGACCGGGCACAUUGGGACUGAGAGAGGGCGCAGUCGGCAACGGGAGGCAGCAGUGGGGAAUAUUGCACAAUGGUCGGAAGCGUGAUGCGGCGACGCCGCGUGCGGGAUGACGGCCUUCGGGUUGUGAACCGCUUUCGCCUGUGACGAAGCGUGAGUGACGGUAAUGGGUAAAGAAGCACCGGCUAACUACGUG